UACGUUUGACAUAACUUUAAUUUAAAGCCACAAGAUUCAGUAGCAUAAUUGCUCAUGCUCUCUAUUGGGGCCAGUCUGUCUGUCCUUCCUUCAAAACCGUGUGCUUGACUAGUAUUUGUUUCGUGCCAGCUCUCUAGUCUUACAAGUCCUGUGUAGCAUUACAAACAAACCAGCAAAUAUGCUAAUCUCCAAUCAAGAAUCAGAAAGAACAAAGCGGAAUCAGGGUAGAGGCUCCUGAAUCGAAGCACACUACCUGCUCAACUAAGCUAGACAUCAAGAAAACAAGCUAACACAAUCUCAUCUCCAGCUACAUCUUCCACGAAUGAAUUAGAGGCUGGGCUUUAAGAGGAGCUCGUAGAGUACAAAUGUAUGCUAGUUCCCUAGCAAUAGCUUCUGUAUUCCUUCCUCAAUUUUCAUGCAGCCUUUGAUUUCUCACAGUCCAUAAAACAUGACAAGUUUCUAUAAAAAUCAUUCGAAAUAAUUGAGCAGCUCGGAUUUUCCUU